rnacentral:siRNA from 1 species
UAAACUUCAGAUGUGGGACGUU